rnacentral:rRNA from 1 species
UACGUAGGGACCAAGCGUUGUUCGGAUUUACUGGGCGUAAAGGGCGCGUAGGCGGCGAAUCAAGUCAGCUGUGAAAUCUCCGAGCUUAACUCGGAACGGUCAGCUGAUACUGUUUUGCUAGAGUGCAGAAAGGGCAACCGGAAUUCUUGGUGUAGCGGUGAAAUGCGUAGAUAUCAAGAGGAACACCUGAGGCGGAGGCGGGUUGCUAGGCUGACACUGACGCUGAAGCGCGAAAGCUAGGGUAGCAAACGGG